CCUACGGGAGGCAGCAGUGGGGAAUAUUGGACAAUGGGCGCAAGCCUGAUCCAGCAAUACCGCGUGUGUGAAGAAGGCCUUAGGGUUGUAAAGCACUUUCAAUUGGGAGGAAUACCUGGUCGCUAAUAUCGGCCAGAUUGACAUUACCUUUAGAAGAAGCACCGGCUAACUCCGUGCCAGCAGCCGCGGUAAUACGGAGGGUGCGAGCGUUAAUCGGAAUUACUGGGCGUAAAGCGUGCGUAGGUGGUGAUUUAAGUCAGAUGUGAAAGCCCUGGGCUCAACCUGGGAACGGCAUUUGAUACUGGGUCACUGGAGUUUGGAAGAGGAGAGUGGAAUUUCAGGUGUAGCGGUGAAAUGCGUAGAUAUCUGAAGGAACACCAGUGGCGAAGGCGACUCUCUGGUCUAAAACUGACGCUGAGGCACGAAAGCAUGGGGAGCAGACAGGAUUAGAUACCUGGUAGUCCAUGCCGUAAACGAUGUCAACUAACCGUUGGGUUUCUUUGAAACUUAGUGGUGGAGCUAACGUAUUAAGUUGACCGCCUGGGGAGUACGGUCGCAAGACUAAGACUCAAAUGAAUUGACGGGGGCCCGCACAAGCGGUGGAGCAUGUGGUUUAAUUCGAUGCAACGCGAAGAACCUUACCUACCCUUGACAUGUCUGAAAUCCCUGAGAGAUUGGGGAGUGCCUUCGGGAAUCAGAACACAGGUGCUGCAUGGCUGUCGUCAGCUCGUGUCGUGAGAUGUUGGGUUAAGUCCCGUAACGAGCGCAACCCUUAUCCUUAGUUGCCAGCGCGUCAUGGCGGGAACUCUAGGGAGACUGCCGAUGAUAAAUCGGAGGAAGGUGGGGACGACGUCAAGUCAUCAUGGCCCUUAUGGGUAGGGCUACACACGUGCUACAAUGGGCGGUACAGAGGGCUGCAAAGUCGCAGGGUCAAGCAAAUCCCACAAAGCCGCUCUUAGUCCGGAUUGCAGUCUGCAACUCGACUGCAUGAAGUCGGAAUCGCUAGUAAUCGCGGAUCAGCAUGUCGCGGUGAAUACGUUCCCGGGCCUUGUACACACCGCCCGU
rnacentral:rRNA from 1 species